UGGGGAAUUUUGGACAAUGGGCGAAAGCCUGAUCCAGCAAUGCCGCGUGUGUGAAGAAGGCCUUCGGGUUGUAAAGCACUUUUGUCCGGAAAGAAAUGGCUCUGGUUAAUACCUGGGGUCGAUGACGGUACCGGAAGAAUAAGGACCGGCUAACUACGUGCCAGCAGCCGCGGUAAUACGUAGGGUCCAAGCGUUAAUCGGAAUUACUGGGCGUAAAGCGUGCGCAGGCGGUUGUGCAAGACCGAUGUGAAAUCCCCGAGCUUAACUUGGGAAUUGCAUUGGUGACUGCACGGCUAGAGUGUGUCAGAGGGGGGUAGAAUUCCACGUGUAGCAGUGAAAUGCGUAGAGAUGUGGAGGAAUACCGAUGGCGAAGGCAGCCCCCUGGGAUAACACUGACGCUCAUGCACGAAAGCGUGGGGAGCAAACAGGAUUAGAUACCCCUGGUAGUCCACGCCCUAAACGAUGUCAACUAGUUGUUGGGGGAUUCAUUUCCUUAGUACGUAGCUAACGCGUGAAGUUGACCGCCUGGGGAGUACGGUCGCAAGAUUAAAAGCUC
rnacentral:rRNA from 1 species